rnacentral:lncRNA from 1 species
CAGGGACGCUGGCAGGGGCUCCUGAGAAACUGCUGUGGCGAUCAGUGAGAGCAGGUCCCUGCCCAGCAUGAGCACAGCUCAGCGCCAGAGCCAGCAUCCUCGUGCCUAGUGCCCCAGAAGAGUGGGUGCAGCUGUGGCUGCCUGUGAGCCUUAUGACCCUGCCCAGCAGGUAGGAUCAUCACUGUUUGGCUGGUGCAGAAAUUGAGGCUGAGAGGGGAGAGGUCACUUGCCCAAGGUCACAGGUCUGGGACUUGUGUCAGGAUUCAAACCUGACCCAUUCAACUCAGAGCCUGAGCUUGCUGUGCCUCAGAGAUGGCCUAAGCCCAGCAUCUCGGCAGGAUCCCCGUCCCCGGACCAUCGCAGGAACCAGGCGCCCCUCCCAUGUGGCCCUAGCCCGGGGGCAGGCCUGCUGAGGCCCGCAGCCAGUGUCAGGCCAGCCAGUAUGGCCUGGCUCCCUCCAAGGCAGGAAGG